rnacentral:rRNA from 1 species
CACGUAGGGGGCGAGCGUUGUCCGGAUUUAUUGGGCGUAAAGAGCUCGUAGGCGGCUCGGUAAGUCGGGUGUGAAACCUCCAGGCUCAACCUGGAGACGCCACCUGAUACUGCUGUGGCUAGAGUCCGGUAGGGGAGUGUGGAACUCCUGGUGUAGCGGUGAAAUGCGCAGAUAUCAGGAGGAACACCGGUGGCGAAGGCGCCACUCUGGGCCGGUACUGACGCUGAGGAGCGAAAGCGUGGGUAGCAAACAGG